GAUGAACGCUGGCGGCGUGCCUAAUACAUGCAAGUCGAGCGAACAGACGAGGAGCUUGCUCCUCUGACGUUAACGGCGGACGGGUGAGUAAAACGUGGAGAACCUACCUAUAAGACUGGGAUAACUUCGGGAAACCGGAGCUAAUACCGGAUAAUAUAUUGAACCGCAUGGUUCAAUAGUGAAAGACGGUUUUGCUGUCACUUAUAGAUGGAUCCGCGCCGCAUUAGCUAGUUGGUAAGGUAACGGCUUACCAAGGCGACGAUGCGUAGCCGACCUGAGAGGGUGAUCGGCCACACUGAGACCGAGCGCCGGUCCAGACUCCUACGGGAGGCAGCAGUACGGACUCUUCCCAGCUGGGCGAAAGCCUGACGGAGCAACGCCGCGUGAGUGCUGAAGGUCUUCGGAUCGUAAAACUCUGUUAUUAGGGAAGAACAAAUGUGUAAGUAACUAUGCACGUCUUGACGGUACCUACACAGAAAGCCACGGCUAACUACGUG
rnacentral:rRNA from 1 species